GACGAACGCUGGCGGCGUGCUUAACACAUGCAAGUCGAACGGAAAGGCCCUGCUUUUGUGGGGUGCUCGAGUGGCGAACGGGUGAGUAACACGUGAGUAACCUGCCCUUGACUUUGGGAUAACUUCAGGAAACUGGGGCUAAUACCGGAUAGGAGCUCCUGCUGCAUGGUGGGGGUUGGAAAGUUUCGGCGGUUGGGGAUGGACUCGCGGCUUAUCAGCUUGUUGGUGGGGUAGUGGCUUACCAAGGCUUUGACGGGUGGCCGGCCUGAGAGGGUGACGGGCCACCAUGGGACCGAGGCACGGCCCGGCCUCCUCCGGGGGGCAGCGGUGGGGAAUUUUGCACAAGGGGCGGGAGCCUGACGCAGCAACCCCGCGUGGGGGAAGCCGGCCUUUGGGUUGUAAACCCCUUUCCGCAGGGAAGAAGGGUAAGUGACGGUAAGUGAAGAAGAAACCCCGGCCAACUCCGUC
rnacentral:rRNA from 1 species